GCUGCAGGGAGGCAGCAUGGAGCCUCAUGGAAGAGGCAGAGAUGCUCUGCUCCAGGACCUGGGGAGGUCCUGGGCUGUUUCAGUGACCUGGAACGGGGAGCAUCUUACAAGAGGGGGAGCUCCUGUCUCCACAUGGCGGACAGCCAGGUUUAACUCCAUCGCAGAGAGAUGUCUUGCUGCUCACCCUGUGGGGAGGCACUCCCCAAGCCAUAUCUUAACAGCACCAUCGACGCAUGUGCUACAGGGUGUGGCGGCUCCAGGGUGGUGAGCUACCUUUCUCCCGCAAUGGUGACAUUCCGGGGAGCCGCUCUCACUUCUUACACUCAGAACAUUUAUUUUUUGUUACUAUCUAAUGCAAAAUAAGUAUCUUGAAUGGUUGCAAAGAGAUCUUGACUGUGAAACGCCACAGCGGCCAGGAAGAACAUCUUGUGUGAACUUUAUCACUUCGGGCGAGUGAUUGGUUGCAGCUCCUAGUGAAAGACUGGGGAGACAUUCUUUCUACACUGCAGUAUUUCUCAUUUCAUUGAAGUUUAUGUUGCAUCAUAGUAUUGACAUUCUGGUUUUCUGUUGUCUCCCAUUCAUUACAUUUUCAUAUCCCUAAGGCUUGUAUACCAAGUUAAGACAAAGUAUCCCCAAGUUUUGCUACCUCCAUUUCUGAAUGCCUGACAACAUCUUUGGCCCUGAUUUCUACCCAGCAAUGUUGAGAUCCUCCAUCUUCCUUUGGCUUCAGGUUGAGUUUCAAUAUUCUGCAUUUUGGGAACAUGAGGUGUUCCACAUGUUAAACAAAAAAGUAAGUCACAGCUUUUCACACACUCAUGAAAAGUUCUGCCACAUUCUUUUUCGUAAUGCCCGGCUGUAAGAGUUGUUAAAACAUUUUGAAAGAAAAUGAAGUUUUCAUAAACAUAAAAUUACCUUAACACAUAACAAAUAAACAAAUUAGUAAAGCCCAGGUUCAAUGUCUUAAAAGCUGACUAACUGAGAGACCAGUAAAGAAGUUGUCAAACACAAACGAUCAUCAGAAGCAAUGUUUCAGCUGGGAGUCUGGAGGCAUUGGUACCUGCUCUGACAUUAGUUGUAUUUUUAAAUCCAUGUUUUCCUUGACAGUUAUUUCUUUAACCAAUUCAGAAAACCUCCGAGCACAGGGAAUUACACAACAGGCCGAAUUAGCCUCUUUCAGGUUUUAUCCCUCCUUAGAGUUAGACAAUGUUUUUUAAUAUGCAACCUGAAUCUUCCUUGCUGCAAAGUCAGAUGAUUCCAUCUUGUCCUAUGAGAACAAAUGAAGACCUUCUAAUCGGAGAGAAAACAAUUGAUAAAUACUCUUUGAGUAGAGUUUUGAACGAGUUUUCCAUCCACGGUAUAGUACUUCUAUUUAGACUACCAACCUCAGUUUGCUUAUGAGGAUGUCUUGUGAGACUUCCUAAAAUAAAAAUGUCUUGUCCAAAAGCCUUCCUAAAAUAAAAACAUCAUGUCUACUGCUUCUCCCCAUGCACUAGGCCAAUAUCCCUGUCAAAGGAAGAAAUUAUUUUGGUUUUGCACUAUUUGUCGUUGAGAAAUCCGUGUUGGCUAUUACUUAUCAGCUUAUUACAGGCUUACAAACUAUGUAAUAAUUUGUUUCAGUAUCUCUCUCAGUAUCAUAGUUAAUUUAUAAGUCUAUAAUUUUUUGGGGGGGUCCUACUUUUUCCACCUUUUCAAAGAUGAGCACUAAGUUUGCCCUUCUGUAGUCCUCUGGGAUGUCACCACCUUCCAUAAGGUCUCCAAGACAAUCGUUAAUCUUUCAGAGAGUGCUGCAGCUAGUUCCCUAAGUACACUAGCGUGAAUCAGGCCCUGCUCACUUGAAUACAUCUAAUUUAGCUAAGUAUUCUAUGCUAGACCUGGUAGACUGGGUCAAUUCAAACAAAACAAAUUUUAUUGCUGCUAAAUGGAAGAUCAUAUAUGUAGGGACAAGGAAGGGAGUCCAUACCUACACAAUGGAGAACAAAGCAAAGUUUGAUGGGUCAGAAUGCACCAGUAGCGCAACAUGAGCUCACAAUGUGAUGCUGUGUAAAAAGGACCCAUGUUAUCCUUGGAUGUAUACAUCGGUGAAUUAUUAGUAGGUGUCUGAAACUGAUUUUACUUAGGUAUCUGCCAUUGCUGAUACCAGGAUUAGCAUACUGCGGCCGGGUUUGAGAAACAGAAAAUUUGUAGAGGGCGCAGAGUGAUGUGAGGGUUGGAAAAAACACCUUAGUCUCACUAAGUCAAGGAGCUCAACAUACGUAGUUUACUAAAAAAGAAAUAAAUGAAGAAAUUGAGAGGUGACAAAGUAACUUGAUUACAGUUCAUAGGAAUAUAAUUAUGAUGGGAAAAGUAAUGUUAGAAUUUUAGUGUGGCAGGGAAAGUCAAAAUAAAAACUAGAUCAACCAAGAAGUUAAAAUCAUAUAAAUUUAAUUUAGCAAUUGGGUGCAAAGCUAACAUCACAUGGUACCAAGAUAAACCCUUAGAAAAAUGUUUCGACCUUUGGUAUAGGAAUAGUCACAGAACAAGGUAUAAGCCGAAUAUUACUAGCAGGAGUCAUAGUCACACACCCCCUCUGCUCAUGUUUUCAUUUGUCAACAUGACACUGAGCUGGGUGAAAUAUGGAUCAUGAAAUGGGUUCAAGAAGUCCUUUCUUGUGAAACUCCACAGCUACGAGAAAGAAAGAAGACCGAUGUGUGUGAAAUGCAUGACCUUGGAGUGAGUGAUGGUUAUAGCCAUAAAGAAGCCUUGGGAAGAUAUUUUUCUACUCUGUAACUCUAUAUUCGAUUUCCUCUUUGCAGUAAAAAUUAUGUUGCAUCAUAUUAUUGCCUUUCUGGUUUUUGUCUUACCCUCCCACCAGUCGUUUUACUUUUAUACAUCAAGGCCUUCUAGCCAGUGAGACAAUUUUUAGUGCCUCCAGUUUUGGGUGCCUAAGAUGACACAGCUUGUGUCCCAAUACCCCUUGUGGUGUGCUGAUCAGGUGCAGCUCCCAUUCUGU